CAAUAUUGGAGUGGAUCACCAUGCGUUCCUCCAGGGGAUCUUCCUGAUCCAAGGAUCAAACCCACAAGGAGGCCAAAUUCAACGAAACUGGAUGGUCUGGAUCUUGUAUUGGAACAGGAACCCCAAAUACAUCAAGAUGAGGAAACGGAGGCUCAGAGGAGUUGAAAUCACAGGCUUCAAAUCCUGCAGCUUGGAUGUCGGAGCUGAGUUGGGCUAGCUCGAAGUCUGGCCACCCCCAGCUCUCCACCCAGGGUGCCCAGGAACUAACACAAUACUGUAAAGCAACUCCACCCCAAUUAAAAAAAUCUUUUUAGAUUGAGAUGGGAACUCAUUUAAAUGUGUUCUUCAAGGAAGACAUAUUCAAAAGGAGAGUGAAGAGCAGGCUUCUGAAACACCAUGCUAAAUGAGGCAGAGCUCAGAGCACUAAGAUGCAGACGUGCGCAGCCCAGCAGCCUUUUACAAACAUCUAACAGGACGUCGGACACGACUGAGCUACUAAACUGAACUGAACAGGACAUGGCGGCUACAGGACUGUUAAUGCAGCUCCCUUAAGUUGGGUAAACAAGAG
ensembl:lncRNA